rnacentral:rRNA from 1 species
CCUACGGGGGGCAGCAGUGAGGAAUAUUGGUCAAUGGGCGGAAGCCUGAACCAGCCAAGUAGCGUGCGGGAUGAAGGCCCUACGGGUCGUAAACCGCUUUUGCACGGGGAUAACACCCUCCACUUGUGGAGGUCUGCAGGUACCGUGCGAAUAAGGGCCGGCUAAUUCCGUGCCAGCAGCCGCGGUAAUACGGAAGGCCCGAGCGUUAUCCGGAUUUAUUGGGUUUAAAGGGUGCGUAGGCGGUCCGGAAAGUCAGCGGUAAAAGCCCGGGGCUCAACCCCGGCGAGCCGGUGAAACUGUCGGACUAGAGACGGCGAGAAGUACGCGGAAUGCGCGGUGUAGCGGUGAAAUGCAUAGAUAUCGCGCAGAACUCCGAUUGCGAAGGCAGCGUACCGGCGCCGGACUGACGCUGAGGCACGAAAGCGUGGGUAUCGAACAGGAUUAGAUACCCUGGUAGUC